AGUCAGUCAGUCAGUCAGUCUAUCAGUCAGUCAGUCAGUCAGUAUAUCAGUCAGUCAGUCAGUCAGUAUAUCAGUCAGUAUAUCAGUAUAUCAGUAUAUCAGUCAGUCAGUAUGUCAGUCAGUCAGUAUAUCAGUCAGUCUAUCAGUCAGUCAGUCAGUCAGUCUGUCUAUCAGUCAGUCAGUCAGUCAGUCAGUAUAUCAGUCAGUCAGUCAGUAUAUCAGUCAGUCAGUCAGU